rnacentral:rRNA from 1 species
CACGUAGGCGGACUAUUAAGUCAGGGUGAAAUCCCGGGGCGUCAACCCCGGAACUGCCUUUGAUACUGGUAGUCUCGAGUCCGGAAGAGGUGAGUGGAAUUCCGAGUGUAGAGGUGAAAUUCGUAGAUAUUCGGAGGAACACCAGUGGCGAAGGCGGCUCACUGGUCCGGUACUGACGCUGAGGUGCGAAAGCGUGGGGAGCAAACA